rnacentral:rRNA from 1 species
GACGAACGCUGGCGGCGUGCUUAACACAUGCAAGUCGAACGGAAAGGCCCUGCUUUUGUGGGGUGCUCGAGUGGCGAACGGGUGAGUAACACGUGAGUAACCUGCCCUUGACUUUGGGAUAACUUCAGGAAACUGGGGCUAAUACCGGAUAGGAGCUCCUGCUGCAUGGUGGGGGUUGGAAAGUCUCGGCGGUUGGGGAUGGACUCGCGGCUUAUCAGCUUGCUGGUGGGGUAGUGGCUUACCAAGGCUUUGACGGGUAGCCGGCCUGAGAGGGUGACCGGCCACAUUGGGACUGAGAUACGGCCCAGACGCCUACGGGAGGCAGCAGUGGGAAAUAUUGCACAAUGGGCGGAAGCCUGAUGCAGCAACGCCGCGUGCGGGAUGACUGCCUUCGGGUUGUAAACCGCUUUCGCCUGUGACGAAGCGUGAGUGACGGUAAUGGGUAAAGAAGCACCGGCUAACUACGUG